rnacentral:lncRNA from 1 species
UUAACGAUCACCAAUAAUUAGAGAGCGAUCACAAUAUAAUAUACAUGCUAUCACUCUAAUCAUAUAGUAUAUCCACCUGAUUAUAUACCUCUCGCUAUAUUAUUUUUUUCCUCACGGUCGCAGCAUCAUGCAAACCAUGUGUCGUCUAAAAUAUAUUUUUCUAAAGUAAUUAUUUUUUAUAAUUCAUAGCACAUUUAAAACAUAGCUUGCAUUUAUCCAUAAAGCAUCACCAUGUUAAAAAAAACAAAUCAUACAUGCUUUACUCAUAUAAUUUUUACUUUUAAAUAAAUAAAACAUAACAAAACUCACCUUACACGUAUUUCACGUUAUUUGUUUCCGUGCUUACUUGUAAGCUAAAGUAAUGGUCCAUUGGGUUCCGGUCCUAUAAUUAAAAAUUUUGAAUUUAAUAUCACACAUUGAUUGCAUACUAUAUUUGCUUAAUUACAUUUUCGUUUAGUACAUUAAGUCUAAGGGUAGAGAGAGUGUAUAGGGUAUCAGAAAAAAUAAGUUUUUCUAAAAAAUUGUCUUUUGUCAAAAUUUGGCUGAAGUGUGAGAAAUUAAUUUUUGAAAUAGUGUUUUCUUCAAACCAUUUUUUUCGGUAAUUUUUCUUUAUACCUUGAAUAGUCAAAAAUAAAUUAUUGCAAGGUAUUGUGUUGACUCAAUGCCUCAAUUUUGAUUGAUAACAAAACGUUGUGUUAGUAGUCUAAUGAUUCUACUUAAUGUGCAGAUUCUAUCUUGCUUUAAUCAUUCAUUAGAUAGAUAUUCGAUGAAGUAAAAUUAAUGAAGUAUUGCAAAGUCAAACUUUCUGGGCAAGAAGUGUCGACACAUGAUCAUGUGGUAUCGCAUGAAACUUUGAAGCUAUCUUUAAGAAUUUGAGAAAAAGUUUUAGUUAAAUUGAGGAAGUUAUGAAUCUCACUGAAUUGAAGACUUUGAAGAGCGCAUAUAUUUAAAGAGAAAAUAUCUUGAAUAACUUGAUUUGAUCAAUGCUCAAAUGGCCAAGGAAAAUAAAGAAAUAUGUUAUGGGCAAGAUGUGUCGACACAUGAAGACAGUAUCCAAACAAUUGAUUAAAGGUGUCGACACAUCUGGUUGAAGAGUCGAUACAUGAAGAUAUCAAACUUGAAUCUAUAUAUAAAUUGUCGACACAUCGGGUUAAGGUGUCGACACAUGUGGACAGUGAGUAAAGAUUUAAAUCUAGAAAUAUAAGUCUCGACACAUCCGGUGAAAGCGUCGACAUAUACGGAUAGUGAACAACCUGAAUGUGAAGUGUUGACACUUGACCUCUAGGUGUCGACAUAUUAAGAUAAUACCCAAAGAAUUGAAGGUGUCGACACAUAGAGACAAAGACCAAACUUUUGAAGACUGAUGAUUAAGUAUCGAUAUAUGACUUCGAAGUGUCGAGACAUGAAGACAGUGUAUUUCAAAAAGAAUGAAGGCUUGAAGUGUCAACACAUGUUCAUAAAGUGUCGACAUAAGAAAUCAGAAGGCUCAGACAACACAGAAGGUGUUGACACAUUUUCUUGAGAUGUCGACACAUAAAACCCCAAAAAGUUCAAAGUGUCGACAUAUGGGUAAAAGUAUCGACACCUAACGGCUAAAUUUUUUAACGUAAAGUUGUUUGAACCAGUAUUAAAUGAUUUACAACUAUCACCAACGGGUAGUGGAGCUUCAAGCCUUUAUAUACAAGACUCCAAAUGCAUUUAUAAAUAAGAGACAUAAGUCCAUUGCAUUGAUUAGAUCAUCAAAGACCCUUAAAGUCUAAAUUCUUUAAAAAUUUCUUUGGUCUUCAAAGUGUGAGCAUUUAUUGAGCUAUUCCAAUCUUAUCUAAUCUUGUUAGAAAGUUUGUUUUAUAUGUGUACAACCUUCUUGAGAGUUGCCUUUUGCGCCAACAGGUAUACCUUUCAUAACAAGAAGAAUCAUUUUUAAAAAAAUUAUAGAAAAUUAUUUUUGUACUAAAACUAUUUUUUUAUUUAAUUGUAAUUAUAUUUUUUUGUAUUUUUUAUUUAAUCUAAAUGGGGGGUAUUUUUAUUUAUAUUAUAAACUUAAAUUAAAAGGAAAGGUAAUGUUUAUCACUUUCACUUAAAUAUUUUCAGUGAAAAUAAGUACGCUGGCAGAGAAUUGGGCCAGGACUAGCCCAACAGUUGGCAAAAAGUUAGGUCUAUCAAACCUCAACUGGUUGUGGAAAAGCUUUACCGGUCCAAGACAAAUAAUAGCUUAACUGAAAUUCUUCUACCGGUCGGGAAAACAUAUUCUACUAGUCGGGAAAAGCUCUAUUGGUCAAGAAAAUAGUUCGAUCAGUCAAGAUCCAAAAAUAGGUUAAGUGAAAUCUUCUACCGGUCAGAAGAAAGCUCUACCGGCUUAGUUAAAGAAAAAAAAAGAAUAUUGAUUUUCCUGACUUGAAUUCCAAGCCUGUGUUAGGCCACUAAACCUCUAAGUUAGGAAAAACAUUCAAAUCAAAGUUGUAGGAUUAAUUUUUUAAAUAUCUAUUAUAAGCAACUCGAAUGAUAUAUGAAUAAGUUAUAAUCCAAAAUAAUAAUGCUUGCUCAGGAAUAAAAUAAUAUAGCGACCAUAUUCGAAGUUCGGCUGGUGGUAGAUAGGUGCAUGAGGUAUUUUCAGGGUAUUGGAAGGUUAAAUCAUUCUAGACAUGAUUUCAAUAAUAGGGCUCAAAAACAAAACCUAGAAAUCACGACGGAAAAGGCAGAGACAUUGGAACUUUACUUUGGUAGAAGAAAACGGAAUUGAUUUUUUGGUAUGACUUUUUCCCCAUUUAUUGGUUCUUUCUUUCUUAUCCUCUCAAAUUCUCCUCUCUCUCAGACCUCUUUUUUUUCUUUCCCUCUCUCUCCCUCCACCGAGAAUUCUCUUUCCCUCUUUCUCCCUUUCUCCUUUCUUGUAAGCAGCUAAGUCCAGAAAUUUGGACUUAGUUGGUGGGUUUGGUGAUGAGUCACCACCAAUAUGUGAUCUCAUGGUUCCACAUGGCUCAUCUCACGUAUGAUUGACAUGUGUCCCACAAGUGGAACAUGUGUCCAGUUUUCUAUUCCAUUUUAUUAGAAAUUAUUUUCAGAUAAAAAAUAUGUUAUCGUAAAAUUUUUGCAAAUUACAAAAAUCUACAAGUAUAUUUAUAUAUUUUUUAUAUUAAGAAAAAAAAAAAUUAAGAAUGGGGGGGGGUAAUUACAAAUCUGCACAAGGCUUAAACAUAAGGAGAUAGAAAAUGAAUCUUUCCACGAAAGAAGAAAAAUAAUGAAUGUAGUUAAUUUAUAAAAUUAUAAGCAUUAUACACUUUGAACCCAUACCCAUUAAUAUUACGAGAUUUAAUUUGGCAAACAAUAGCUAUAAGCUAGUAGUAGCUUGGUAAAGGAAUCAGGUUUUUUAAACCUGUUUUUUGAAAUCCUUCCGACUUACAAAGGAAAUGACUAGUCAGAAUCAAUUAGUUAAUGACCAUAAAUAUAAAAAAAAAAAUGAGUUGCAAUUGGAUAAAAGAAGAGUGUUAAUAUAUAAUUAUUAGUCAAUGCAUAGAUACUAUAUAUAUAUAUAAUAUAUAUAUAUAUAUAUGAGGUAUAAUUUAAUUAGAUAUUAUUACAGAAUUACAGGUAAAAAAUCAUAUUGGGUUGAAGUAGACUUCGAUUUCGGGUGCCGGAGUUUUUGUAAGAUUCAUACCUAUUGCUUUUAAUCGAGUAGUGAUUUUAAAACCUGGUACUCUAUCUGUCAAGAAGAAAAUUUAUUUAAAUCUGCCCUUUGGCUUCGAGUGGACGGGGGUACCUUAAGAUUGAAUUGAUCCAAAGGGGUUUUUUUUCAAACAAGGCAUCGUUACUUGUUUUGUAUUAUAGGGAAAGGCUAGGCUACGGUCAAUGAAAAUGUUGCCGAUGACACCAAAAUGAUGUCGUUUUGAUGCAAUUGAUAAUAUUUUCUUUGAUCGAUUAAAAUACAAAUGAAUUUAAGAUCAUCUGUUUCUAUUAUUUUUUAUGGGACCCAUACAAAUAGCAUGGUGGUUUGUCGUUUUGGUACCAUUGAUAAUAUUUUCUUUGAUCGAUUAAAAUACUUAUGAAUUUAAGAUCAUCUAUUUCUAUUAUUUUUGAUGGGACCCAUACAAAUAGCAUGGUGAUUUGAUUUUUUUAUUUUUAAAAAAUAAAAGAAAUAUCAAGACAAUUAAAUAACAUUACCAUAAUUAAAUAAUAUACACGAUGCGAGGCGAUAUGUUUAAGCGUCGCGAUAUACAUUCAAUAUUGUUUAGAAAUGUUGCUAAAAGUUAUACUUCAUAAAAAGAAAGGAGGUGCCAUUUGACAUGACAUGACAUGAAAUGUAGUUGUUAGCCAUCAAUAUAUUUUACCAUACGAGCCAUUUUUCAUGGAGUGGUUAAAAUUGAAAUCUCAACCAAGACAAAUAGAACCCAACCCAACUGCUCAAAUGGUCACCACAAACGUCAUGAAUUGCAUAGUCAUGUGGGGUGUGAAAUUCGUAAGAGGGAGAAAUAAAAUUGAAGAAGACCCUGCGGUGAUUUGUGCUGCUGUGCGGGUGGCUAGGGGUGUCAAAAAAAAAUCGAAAUCGCGUGUUGAACCGGACCAACCGACUUGAACCGUGCCUUUUGGAUUAGUCUAUGGUUAAUGGAUAGGUUCCGGUUUUUAAAAAUUAAGAAUCGGUAAAUUUGGAUCGAUUACCGUUUUUUUUUAAUCGAACCGAACUGAAACCGAUUUAAUAUAUAUAUACACACACAUAUUUAUCUUGAAUCUAACACCUAAUAUCCCAUAAUUCACACAGAUGCAACGUGAUUACUAUUUGCUUUCUCCAACAAAUCCUUUUCACUUCCCAUGCAUAUUGGGAUUCUCAUUCUUUCCUAGCAAAACAAAAACCCUUCAACCUUUUUCUCUACUCCAGAUUUUAUCAGUUAAUUUUUCCUUUUGUUAUCCAUUAUGAAUUCUUUCUCAGUUCUUCGUUUAUUUUCCUUUUUUGUUGUUAUCCUUAUGAAUUCUAGACUUUUAUGAGUUGUUUAAUUGUUUAUAUAUUAGAGUUGGGUUGAUAUAAUAUCAUUUGACGAGUCAAUCAAUCAACUAUUUUGGUACUAAUUUUGGUUCGGCGACUUGAAGUAUUAAUGAAGUUAUGUGUUAUUUAAAUGAACAACUUUGUUUAACAAUUUUAUAUUUUAUAAAAAUAUUUGGAAUGUUAAUUGGAUUGAACCGGAACCGAACCGAUAAGGCGGAUUGCUUUUGGUUUGGUUCUACCCUUGUAAUAGUUAGGUUGCAUCCAAAAAUCCAGUUUUCAUUUUUCAGAACUGUUAAAAAUGGAUUGGUUACUGGAUUCUUAUAGAACCGCCAACUCGGACCAUGGACAUCCUACGGGGUGCUGCAGUCAAUCACCUAGCUAGCUCUUAGAUUGCGCACAGAAAUAAUGAGAUAUCCGCCACUGGACUUGUUUUUGAAAAUGGUUCUCACGAUGUUUCAAGUUAUAUUCUGGAUAAUGUAUGUAGAGAUGAAGAGAGAGUUGUGCUCUUUGUUGAAAAUUUUGAAUUUUGAAUGAUAAAUUGUCCAUUAAAGUGGUGAUAAUGGCUGGAGUUACAAAAGAAUUAUGGCUGCCGUUACAUAGAUAUUAUCACCACAUUAUGAUCAUCAAUUCCUUGCAAUGAAUGAUAAGGCUCUCCACUCCUAUAUGUAGCCAUUCUCACUCUUUAUUUCAUACACACAAUAAGAUACAACAUCUGAGAGCACACACUACUCUAAGAGAGAGCCUUUUUUUUAACUUUUUGUCUUCUCCAUAGAGAGUUCAAAAAUACUGUGAGUUCGAUGGACCGGUUAUGCGGUGCUAACACUAUCCUGAAUUUGCUAUUUUAUCUUGGGAGGCGACGUCCACUGACUCAACGCACUGGUGAGGAACGAAUUAGCCAUAAGGAGAUCGUGUAAAACACGAGACUCAGCUCGGUUUGCAAUUUUGUUUCAUUUUAUUUUACAGUCUUGUAUGUUUAUUUUUAAUGUAGUUAUUGUAAUAUUGUUCUUAUUCAAUUUAUAAAGUAUUUGUAUUUUUGCAUUGUUGUAUUAAUUCUUUCGAACAAAAUUUUUUAACAAUCUUAAGCUGAAUCGUAUCGAAGAACAAAGCAAAAAUUUUCAAAUUUUUGCAAUUUUGUUUACAAAGAAAAAAGCUGUUGAACAGUUUUGAAGAAAAUAAUUGUAAUUUUUGUUUUGUUUGAACAAUUUUGGUGCAAAAAUAGUAGAUGUGCUAUUGUUCUUUAAAUUUUAUUUAAACUGUUCUUUGAAAAAAAAUAGUAGCUGUGGUACUUUAAAAUCAAAGAUAACACAGCCCACGGUACUAAUUAGGCUACGGUUUUCCAAGGUACGUUUAAAAAAAAAUUCAAAAAAAAUGAUGUCGGGAUAAAAUUAUAUUUAUUAUUUAUUAAUUUUUGUAUUUUUUAAUUUUAUCAUUAGUAUUUUUAUUUUAAGUUAUUAAAAUUUUAAAUUUUAAUUAGGAGUUUUUAGUAUGUUAGGAGCUUAUUUUCAAAUUUUAGUAUUUAUCAAUCGAAUUUUAUUUAAUAGGAGUUUAGGAAUAUUAGGAGUCUUAUUUUAAUUUUAGUGUUAUCAAUAGGAUUAGUUUUUAUUCUAUUUAAGGAUUUUUUUUUGUUGACGAUGAAAAGGGGAUGAUGAUUAUGAAUGAAGAGAAAAUGAUGGUUUUUCUUUUUUUCUAACCUUUGAAUCUGGCGGAAGCCAAACUUCUCCCUCCCCUUCUUCUUUGAUUCUAGCGGAAGCCGAACUUCUCCCUUCCAUUCUACAUUCUUGUUACUAUUAUUUAUUUAGAUUUCCGUCCGGCAUCAAAUUUGGUAUAUUUUAAAUAAAAUAAAAUAAAAAUAUUAGCAAACAGUAGCUGUACAGAAAUUAUUUUAAUUAAAAUAGCAAACAAAUUACAAAAACAUGAAUGCUUGAAAACGUAUUAGUUUGAAUUUAUUAGUGGUAGCACUAUUUCAUACCUUUUGGGUACUGAUAUUCUAUUUAAGAUUAGUUUGAAUCCAAUCUUAUUAAAUUACAGAAUUGAAAUUACUGUUUCUAUAAACUUGAAAAAAAAUCAGUAAUUCUGAUUAACAAUUUUGAAUAUAAUUUUUUUUGGGGAACUGUUAAAAUAACUACUGAUUUCAGUUUCGUAGAUUUUAUCAAAACUGAAUAGAUGUUAUUUAUUGUUUUAACUCCGGACUUUAUUGUUAUUACCAGACUUUAGUGGACAGUUUAAAAAAAAUUUUUUUUUGGUAAUUACAGAUUUCUCUUAGAUGUUGUAUACAUUGCGAUAGUCAAGCAGCAAUUGGAAUGGCACAGAGUAAUAUGUAUAACUGUAAAGUCUAGACAUAUUCCGUCGUAGCAUAAUACCGUGAAGUCAACUGCACACAAUGGAGUUUUCAAUAGACUAAUGUGAAGUCUAAAGAUAAUAUCGCGGAUUCGCUACCAAAGGUUAACAAGAGAGCAGGUUUUGCAAUCAUCGAGGGGAUGAGAUUAAAAACUUUUAUGUCAAAAUAUAAGUCCAUAGUGGAUACCCACCUAGUUGACUGAGAUCCCAACAUCUUAGGUUUUAAAGGGAUACUAAGAUUAUUGGAAAUUCAAAAAGAGCACUAAAAGAGAGAUUAUCUCUACCCAUUCCGAUGAUACAAUUAGUGUUGUCCUAGAUUGUAAGAAGGAUAAGUUUUGCUUUUAAUUAAUGACUCCUAUGUCUUGAAAAUUCAGACGAGUAUAGCAGAAUACUCGUGAUGAGAAUGUCCCUAUGUGAGUAUGAUUUAGGGCCGCAAAUGAGAAUUUUUAAGGCUAUUCUUUACAUACUCAUAGAACCAGGCAGUUCUGGGCAAAACGAAUACAACGUGAGGAUAAUAUAGUGUUGGAAAAUCAUGUGUGAUGCCUAUUGUCUUAGUUUACACAAAUGGCAGAAUAGUUCAAGACAUCGCGUUCACUAUUCAACUAGUAGACCAGAUAGGUUUUCACAAAAAAGGUUCAAGGCCAAAAGCUACCUUUCUUGUCGCAGGGGAGUGUUUUGACGCGCGUGCCAAUUGUCAUUUCAUUGAGUAGGCAACUGACUCAGUCAUGCUCCUAUGGCCUGGCUAGUAGCUUGUCAUCAUGCUGUUGAUGUCUCAAUCCGGGUAUGGGGACUGUCAUAAGAAUCUUUGCCAUGCAAGUUACCUUUUGUCCCCUGUCAUGCUUCGGGAUCACCGCCGGCUGUUGUCCCUCGUCCAAAUUUUAGCGCGGUUACUUUUUCGAGCUUACUAAAUAGCCACAACUCGGAGGUGAUGACAGCCUUAAUUCAGACAAUGCCUAUGUUCGAUAGUGUCUCGACCGAUCUCCGGCGUAGGAGACUACCGAGUUUUCUUCAUGGCGAUAGUUCAAUGGCAAUACCUGCCCUAGCAAGGCCGAUCCAUAUUAUAUAUUUUUUUCCCCUUACAGUCUUGAAUAACUCCCAUUCGAUCUCUAUUUAAAUCAUGAUAAUUACCCUCUUUAUUCAACUCAUUUCACUUGCAUUUCUCUUCAUUUCUCAAAGCAAGUCACCCUAUUUUAAUUGAAUCCGCCAUAUGGUGCGCACCCACAUACUCCUCUUAAUAUUUCCACGCUUGGGUCUCCUCACUCCCUCCUCCAAUUCGCCAAAAACCUAAUACGAAUUGGGGUUAAGGUCACCGGCACCACACCUUUGCCUAUCGUCGCAUGGUCACCAAAAUCUCUCCAACCCUAGAAGCGUUACUGUUACAACCUUCUCUGAUGGCUACGAUGAAGGGGUCAAAGACAUUCACGACAAUGACCACUUUCUAUCUGAGUUCAAGAAUCGUGGUUCACAAGCCCUUGAAGAAAUCAUAAGUGCCAGUGCUAAGGAAGGCCAACCUGUCACGAUUUUGGUAUACACCAUGCUUCAACAUGGCAGCCAAAGUAGACCACCUUUCACCCAUCCGCAUCUUUGGAUCCACCGGCACUUUUUUUUCGAUAUCUACUACUUUUACUUCAUGCUAUGGCGAUAACAUUAGAAAAAUAAGUGAUGAUUCUCCUUCGUCCUCUAUUGGAUUACCAUUCUGCCACACUAACUCGCCGGAUCUUCCUACCUAUAUGGUUCCUUCAAAUUCAAGCUACUACAAAUUUGGACUGCCAGCGUUUGAAGAGCAACUAGCUACACUUGCAAAUCCCAGCGGGAGAAUACUUUAAACACUUUUGAUGCAUUAGAAUUCGGAGGCCUUAAGAGCAAUUGAGAAGCCAACAUGAUUGCGUAUUGGACCGUUAGUCCCAUCACCAUUCUUGCAUGGAAGAGAUAGCUUUGAUGCUUCUUUUUCGGGGUGAUCACUUCGAAAAAACCCCCCCCCCCCCCCCCCAAAACCCCCCCCCUCAGGGAACAUGUUUGAGUGGUUGGAUUUGAAAGUACAAUAUUCAGUUGUUAUGUUCAUUUGGAACCACUCCCUUUGUAGUGUUAUCUAGCGACAAGGGAGAGACUGCCGGGGAUUUGUGUGAAAAGCCUCGCCAUUCCUGUGGGUGCUCAGGAUCAGAAAAUGGGAGAAACAGAAGAAAGAUAAGUUGUUCAGAGGAAAUAAACAACUAGGGAUGAUAGUGCCAUGGUGUUCCAAGUUUGAUGUUCUUUUGCCCGUUCAUUAGGAUGCUUCUUCACGCAUUGUGGGUGGAAUUAAUUCACUUUGGAGAGCUUGGUUUCUGGUGUUCCGAUGGUGGGUUUCCCACACUUUACAGAUCAACCACGAAUGAAAACUUUAGAAGACGUGUUUAGGACCCGGGUAAGGGUGAAAGUGAAUGAGAAGGUGAUGAGAACACAAGAUGCAUAGAAGUGAUAAGGGAGGUGGGAGUUUGGGAAGACUGAAGAGGAAAUUCUCAGAAAUGGAAGGAUUUGGCAAAGGAAUCUAAAGGAGGUGGGAUCCUCGGACAUGAACCUCAGGGCUUUUGUGGAGGAAUGGAAGCAUAAUUCGUUUUUUCAUGCUAAGUUGUUAUGUUCUAUGGAUAAAGGUUUCCACCAAUAAUUUAUUUGUUUAAUUACUCACAUUAUUGUUUUCAUUGUUGGUGUCUUUCUUUUGACAAAGAUUUAGAAAUGUUCUUUAUUGUAUUCUUCGAAAAAUUAAAAUAUUUUUUUAUAUUAGUCCAUAUUAAAUUUUUAUUUGUAAUAUUUUUUUUUCCAACCCAACUUUUUACGUUUCCAAUAUUUUGUACUUUUCUCAAGCAUUAUUAAGUAAGCUGAUGCAACACAAUGUAGGAACCCUAACCACGUCUGUCCAUGGUGAUUGGAGAUUAGUUGAACAUAGCUAAACUUGGCUCCACAUUGUAUUAUUAUAUUGUUCGUGCUAAAUUUGUGUUAGUCAUAUUAUUUUAGUUGCCAAUUUUUUUUUACAGGUUACCAUUAUUUGUACUUUCUCAAAACAUUAAAUAAUAUCUGAUGCAACAAAAAAUGGCCCACCGACCAAUCUAUCUAGGAGUGAUUGGAGAUUGGUUGAACAUUGACUAAAAUUGACUCACACAUAGCUUGUUGAUGAACCAAACGAAUUCAGAUUAUAAAAGAAUUACGGACACUUAUAUUUAGGGAUCCAUUAAUUAUGAAGUAGAUAAGUUAACACCAAAGUGUAAAUCAAUUAAAACAUCCAGUUCUAGCCUAGUUCUAGCCUGGCUUAUAUAUUUUCAAGCACUAACUUUUGACCAUUUGUUUAUAUCUUUCGGGUCUGCCUUUUCUACUUUUUAUCGAUUGCCGCCGUGUUCUUGAAAUCGAUCAACAACCUCAUAAAGUCACUCAAGUUCUAUCUUUAUUUUUAAUCAAAGGGAGGAGAGGACGGAGGAGGGAAAAGGAGGUCUGCUAUGUAGAAGAAAGAAGGUGGAGGAAAGAAGUGGUUGCUGUCACUCAACAAUGAAAAAAGGGGGGAAAAGUAGAACUCGGAGAGUUCUUAUGGUAUUGCAGUGCCUUAGUGUAAUGUGGAAUUAAUGAGUAUAAAUGUCAAUAGUGCAAAGGUGAAAUUACCCACGAUUUAUAUCUAUGUUGAAUUGAAAUUAAGGUGCAGAUUUAAUACGAUGCAACGCAGAAUUUUCUUCAAGCAUUAGACAAAAUAUUCAUACAAAUUGGGGAUCUUUGCAACAACCCCAACACUAGCUGCGUUCGGGAUUAAAGACAAUAACCUUUGAAAACUCAAAUUCGGAGUUUUGGAAGAUGAGACUAAAUUUGUUUCUGCUACUAGGGGUUUUUUUAAGUCUUAAAUUAGGAACGAUGGAAUAAAUGCGUGGUAUUGCCCUUACGGAGAUAAUUUUGACUGACUCUCAUCCAAAGCCUCAAAAUAAGUGCAGUUGGAGAACUUUCAUUAAAAAUUAGUCUCAAGUUUUAACGGGUUGUAGGGCGGUAAUGCAACAUGUCACAAAUAUGAGCAAUUUGCACUUUGUCCCUCAAAUAAAUAAUUUUUUCACUUGAACAUCAACUAUGAAUUAAUUGCGAUGAAUACCAACUCUCUAACUUAUGUCCAAUUUCAAUGGCAUUGUUAAUACCCCAACAAUCGAGGGAAUGGCAACGGGGCGGGUUCGGGACGGCGUCGUCAACACACCCAGGCCCCGACCCCGACCCCGACCCGUUUUUUAAAUGUUUUAUAAUAUAUUAUAAUUUUUGAUAACGGUAUAAGAAAAUAUAUCAUUAUAUAUAUUUUUUAGAAACGGUAUAAGAAAAUAUAUCAUUAUAUAUAUAUAGAUAAUAAUAUUAUGGUAUAAUUAGAAAAAAAGGAUAAUUUUAUCAAUUUAUAGUUAAUUGGGGCGGGUUCGGGGUGUCCAAAUCUGAAUCCGACCCGGAUUUUAAUUUCCCCCCCAUAACCCGCCCUGAACCCGUUUUAUUCGUACCCGAAACCCGCCCUAUUAUGGGCGGGGCAGAGUGGGGACCCGAUUUUUUCUGGGUAAUUGCCAUCCCUACCCCGAUCCCAUGAUUUUCCUUAUUUAAGUAGGUUAUGACCCGUACGCUAAUUGACUAGGGUAAUUAUGAUAUUAUGGAUCAAAGUGAUCCGUUGAGAUACAGAACGCCGUCAAAAACCUUAGACUUAAGUUUCUAGCCAAGAAUCCUUCUUGGCGUUCGAACCGUAUAAGGGUCUUCGAACGCUCAAGCCUGUAACGAAUUUAACAUUUUCAGUGCAUUCGAAUGUGGCGUUCAAACGCUAGGGCUGAAUUCCUUCUUAGUGUUCGAACGCUAAUGUUGGCUUUCGAACGGUAACAGUAUAUAUGUACAAAAAAAAAAGGAAAAGAGAAGAGAAAAGAAGAGCAAGGAAUCCAAAUAAGGGAGAGCACAUGGGAUUAUUCCCCAUGUGUGUCUUGGGUUAUACACACCACACCACACACACGUAGAUAGAGAGAGAGAGAGAAAGAAGAGAAGAGAGAAGGGAGAAGAGAGAGGGAGAGCUUGGAGAGCUCACUCAAAGCCAAGAAAAGCCAUUAUUGAAGCUGAGAAGCUUGGAAAAAAGGGGGAAAAACUCAAACCCUAUUUUCAAAAUGUAUUAUAUUGUCAUAGAAAUGUUAGUGGGGGGGGGAAACAAAAAAAAUGUUGGUUUUAGGGAAUCCCUUGAGUCUCAGUGGGUGGGAAAUCAAGGAUUAGAGAGUUGAAUGGAGUAGUAAAUUGAAAGUGGGUUGAACAAACUCCCAAAUUAUCAAAGUUAAGGUUUCUAGAUUUCAUUCUUAGGAUCCCUUCCAUUUUAAUGAUCAUUUUCCUUUCAUUUUGAGUUAUGUUCAUCUUAGUGAAUCAAUUCUUAGAUCUUUUGAAGAGCGGUAAGGUUGGUUAUACGUGGAGAGUUUUUGGUGAGUUUUGGGACUAAAUUUCUGCUGUUGCGUAGGCCUAGCAUUCGAAAAUCCCAUAUGGCAUUGAUGCAGAAAGUUGCAUUUUUCAGUUUUGCCUGGCGUUCGAACUCUCUAACCCUUGCAGUUCGGACACUAUUUUGGAGAAACGGGGGGGGCGUUAUAUAAUUUCUCUAAAAAAAUUCAGAUUAUUGCACCGUUUGAAGCGUUGGAAAGUAGACUCAUAGACCCUUCUACUAACAUAAAGUUUGCACUCUAAUAAUUACUUAUAUAUUAUGAUAUAUUGGAUUUUAUAGCUGACCCAAAAUUUUACCAGCUUUAUUAUUUUUUAAAAUUUUAGUUCCUUUUUCCAUGGGGCAUAACUUCUUCAUUCAGAAUGUAAUUUGAUCCAUGACCUACCAAAUUAAAGGUCCUUAAGUCUAUUUCCAAAUGAGAUUGACCUAGAAUUCAAGUUCAAUGUCUUGAGGUGAAUGUGAUGCAAUGAAUGAGCUAGUGUUGAAGGAGUAAUAUUCUAAAUCUUAACUUUUAUGUUCUCAUCUUACCUUGAGAUCAUGACAUAGAGAAUUGUCUUAUUCUUUCAUUACGAGAGUGAGGUUUUAUUGAAUGGUAAACUCGGGACUAUCGGACCUAUUUUUAGGAGUGUCGUCCUAGAGUAAGUGUACCUUGGGUCGAGUCAAGAGUUUUGUAUUAUUUCAUUUAUUUAUUCUCGUAUCAUCAAGCUUAGUAUUAAUGUUUCCAUACCUUACAUGUAAGAACACAUUGCUUAGCACCUAUUUAAGAGAAUUGAGGUGAGUAACAUGAUGCCAUGAAUAAAAUUUUAUGUACUUUCGAAAUAUUUUCAAUAUGAACUACGUUAUAUACAAUGUUUUCCAUGCUUUCAAUGCAUAAAUGAUUAUAUUUCGUUAUGAACGUCAUAUCUUCUAAGUGCAUGCCAAUUUUAGUAUAUUAUAACAAGAAAAUCAUGGAUGGAUGUUUUCACGUGAGAAGUAAAGAAUUUUCAAUGCAUAGCAAGUAAAGUAUGUUCAAUGUAUGGUGACACUCGGGGUCUUCUAGCGGUGAUACCUUAAUCUAGCCCCUUAGUCCAAUGAUAGGGGACCGGAAAUAAACUAUCUAGUCCUAUGAUAGGGGACUGAAAAUAAACUAUCUAGUCCUAUGAUAGGGGAUCGAAAAUAAACUAUCUAUGUGGGAUACGUCAUUGGCCUAAAGUGCUCCAGCAUAACCUAUAUGGUUAGUAUGUGUGCCCGAAAGGGUACUAUGCCGAGUUGUUGCACUUUUCAAGCUAAGUUAUGAUAUGCCUACGAGCACUUUUCAAGCUAAGUUGUGAUAUGAUCACGAUUUUAAGUUAUUCAUGCUCACAAUUUCAAUUAUAUGCGACGAUAUGUUCAAGUUUUCAACCUGUUAUGACAAGUUCAAGUUUAAGAAAAGGACGAUGUUAUGUACAGUUUCAAAGUAUUUAUGUUUAUUAUUCAAAGGUAUGAUAUGAGGUUUUAAAGACUUGUUUAAAUGUGAUAUCACACGUAUAUCUAGUAUGAUAAUGAUAGCAAUCCAUGGUAUUUUCUGUUCAUGCCUUAUUGUUAUUCACUAAGCGUUAUAGCUAUGUUUUAGAAAAUAAAUUUUAUGACAGCCAAACUGAGAGCAUUACAAAGAAGUGACGGGAAGUAUUUAGUUUUGUGGACAAGGACUAUAUAAGUGUUGCUGAUGGGCUAGGCCCCAUUGUUAUUGUUCUUAAGUUGGCCCAUUUAUGUAUAGAUGAAGAUGACAAUGUUAUUUAUAAAGAAAGGAAAACUUAGGCACAACUAUGGUAUAUCUUCACACCUUAUUAUUUUCAGUUAUUAAGACAUUUCUGCAAAUUAUGUAUCAUUUUAAAUGAGUAUGCACAGGUAUUCAACCGGGUUAAGUUAAGUCGACAUUGGUGGGCAAGCCGCCGGCCGGUCACGUGCCCUCAAUCUGUGUAGACCGAGUUGCGGGGCGUGACAGGAAUAUUACAUGUGGGGGCCACGUGUGUAACACGUGGAAUCUCAAAUCCAAAAUCAAACCCAAGCCCAAACAUAUAUCCAUACCCUUUCUAGAAAAAAAAUAAAAAACUUAUAUUUAUACCCUAAACCUUCCUCUUCCUCUUCCUCUUCCCCUCUCCUAAAUCAAAACCCUAAUUAAAGCCCAAACGAUAACCCCUAAACAUCCACCACUCCUAAACCCUUACCCCAAUCCACACCUUCACAUGCUGCAAAUCGUAAAGUGUUCUCUAUCUCUUUGUGUGCGUGCGUGCACGGG